GUGGUCGCGUUCUAGUUCAUGGGGCGUGGGCUCGAGGCUCCUGGUGGCGCAGGCCCCGAAGUUUGUAUUAUCUAAGUAACUGGGGUGGUUUUGUUACCGAUAAAUCGUAACCAGGAAAAAUCUCCAAAGCAAAUGACAGUACAGAAAGACGACAUUGAUUUAUUGCAGCGCUGGGUGCGUGGGGGAUCUCUCCUGGUAACAUGCACACCACCGUACUUGGGGGUUGGAGAUUAUCCACCUGACAGUGACCUGUGAAAGUAGAGGAGUUCUGUCAGGCCCAGUACUUCAUGACUGACAUUGUCGAGGCCAUUGGAAAACUGGUUAAAAAAGCUUGCAGAAAAAACAGAAUUUAUGAACCUGGCGGUACUCACCUUGAAAGACACCUUGCCAGCAGCUGUUUUGGGAUGUGUCUGUGGAGCAGCCUAAGAGGUGAUUCUCUCCAGGGAUUUGUGCACCCUUCUCUUGGAUAAGUCCCCACUUUGUACAAGUGGAGAUAUCUGCAUCCAAUCUAAGGGAUGACACAGCUGAAAAAAGAGAGAGAUUUGGGGAUUUUUCUUUCAGAAACUUCAGAGAACUUCAGGACAGGUGGGACACAUAAGCCACAAGCCCCCUUCCAUUGCCAAGUUCUGCUGCAGUGGAUGAAGACUCUGAACUUUGUGGUAGUUGUUGCUUCGAAGAGCAGGCGGCUUUGAAACCUAUGUCUCUAUUAGGAAAGCAUACGAAACAGGGAAGCUUAAAUCAGGCAGAGUGCUUUGAUGUUCCUGAAACACCAGGAAUGCUCCUGUCUAACCCUGGAAGUGAAUUAGAAAGGUAGAAGUUGGGACAGUGUUAGGGGGCUGAGCUGGGUGUGAUAAAUGUCUUUGGAUGGAUGGACCCGACAGCCUGGAGAGCCUGGUGAACCUCUCUGGAGUUUGAGGGGCAAUAACAAACAAGGGGCAGGGCAGGAGGGAGCAGGUUAUUUGCUGGGAGAUGUGGGAGUGCUGCAGGACUAGGGAAAUAGACAUGUUGAAGGGACCGGGAGGAAGUUUAUGUUAGGUCAGCUUACAGUUCUGGAUUUUUCUUCACUAACCCUCUCUACUUAGCUCAUUUUUUUUUAUUAUUAUUUUUUUUUUUUAAAGAGUGCCUCAUGGACUCUACCACAGCUGGACCAGGGAUAAGGAGAAAAAAUAAUUGGAGGCUCUGGGAUAUGUGUUUGGCUAUUCAAAAAUGUUUCAUCAUUAGUGUUGUUCCUGUAAUUGCUAAUGACUUACCAUGUCUUAGAUCUGUAAGUCUGCCUGUUUCUGUAACUCUGCCUGUUUCUUCCAUUUUUGUGCGGGUUACAGAUGGGAAUUUUCAACUGCUGUCUGUUUUGGUAUCUCCAUGUUGCCAUAUUUCUCUCUGUGAUUUCAUCAUAGGUUGGACACAUUUAACUUUAAGAAACUGAAGAGAGGGAUUUUCAUGAAACUCUUGAUUUCUUUACUAGGAAAUUGGUUAGCUUUCCCAGCCUUUAAAUGCUCUCUGCACAGUCAUUGCAUUUUAAUGAAUUGACCACUCGAACACAGAUGUUUUGGUUUUUCACUUCUAAAGCAAUGAUGUAAUUAAUGUUCAUUAGCAAACAUUGUUUCUCUGUGGGAGGGUCUCUAUUUGGUAAUGUAAUUUGUUGCAGGAGGACUACUGUCAGCCAGCACCCCCAGACCCCUUCCUGCAGGGCUGCUCUCCAGCCACUCCUCUCCCAGUUUAGACUGGUGCCCAGCAUUACUCUGUCCCUGGUGCAGAAUCCAGCAUUUGGUCUUGUUCAUUUCCAUGCUGUUGAUGACUGCCCGAUGCUCCAAUCUAUCCAGAGACCUCUGCAAGGCCUCUUGUCCCUCGAGAGAGUCAGCAGCACUUCCCAGUUUAGCAUCAUCAGCAAACUUGCCAACCAUGCAUUCAACUCAUGCAUCCAGAUCGCUGACAGAAAGAUUGCAUGGAGCUGGCCCUAGAAUUGAACCCUGAGGAACAGGAUCCCUGUUCCUGGGGACUGGUCACCAGCCAGAUGUAGCCCCAUUCACUGCAAGGCUUGGCGCCCUGUCCUUCAGCCAGAUCUUCACCCAGCACACUAUCUCACAGUUGGAUAACUUGUCCUGAAGGAUGCUGUGAGGGACAGUGCUGAAAGCCUUACUAAAACCCAGAAAAAACUCUGCCCACAACCAUUCCUUCACACACCAGGGGCUGACCUUAUUGUACAAGGAUAUAAAAUCAGUUAAGACAGGAAUUUCCCUUUGUGAACCCGUGUUGACUGUGCCUGAUGAUCACAUUGUUCUUUAAAAGUCUUUCAAUAACACCAGCAUGAUCUUCUCCAUCAUUCUUCCAGGUCCUGAGGUUAAAGAUAGUUUGUUAAGGUACAACUGUGUUGAUACUGCUUAACUUUAUCUGAAGAAUGUUUACAAAAUAAUCCUAAAAAUAGUUCUAAUCUCAAGGUAGGAUGUGGAGACUCCAUGCAUCACAAGACUGUAAGUGGAGCACCAUUGCCCAUCCAGAGGAAAGACAAAUUAGGUCUCUUUGGAUGGAAGGUGGACAAAUCUCCCCCUUCUUCCCAACUUUAAGGUAUUUCAAAUUGCAGAAGUAAGAAUAAAUGUUCACACAUCUAAAGGCA